UUUUUAAAAAUGUCUUUUGGCUUGUGGCCGAAGUGACAUGAGUGUUGAUAAGUGUGAGAACUCCAGAAUAUGCGGUAAACACUUCAGUACUCUGCAUUCUGCAAUACAAGCAAGAUUUCCGAUUUGAACUUUGUGGCAUCAAGCAAGGGAACAACUACCGCAAUUUGAAAGAAGAUGCCAUUGCUGAUCAACAUCUGCCAGCCACAUUGCUAAAUGAUUCAAUGCAAUUUGUGACUAAGUCUUCCCGGGUGGUGAGACUUGAGAGAAGAGGGCUGAAACGCUUAGCUCAAGAAAUACUUGAUAAUGAUGAGAAUGAAGCUCCCGCUAAAAGAAGAGCAAGGCACAGCAUUGCGCUUCACAGCACGGCUCCUCCAGUUGCACGGCAUUACUACUUCAGUCCUCUAGAUCACCUCUGCAACAGUAA